CGCGUAGGUGGUUUGGUAAGUCGGAUGUGAAAGCCCCGGGCUUAACCUGGGAACUGCAUUCGAUACUGCUUGACUAGAGUAUGGUAGAGGGAAGUGGAAUUCCAGGUGUAGCGGUGAAAUGCGUAGAUAUCUGGAGGAACAUCAGUGGCGAAGGCGACUUCCUGGACCAAUACUGACGCUGAGGUGCGAAAGCGUGGGGAGCAAACA
rnacentral:rRNA from 1 species